UACGUAGGGGGCGAGCGUUGUCCGGAUUUAUUGGGCGUAAAGAGCUCGUAGGCGGUUGGGUAAGUCGGGUGUGAAAACUCAGGGCUCAACUCUGAGACGCCACUCGAUACUGCUCUGACUCGAGUCCGGUAGGGGAGCGUGGAAUUCCCGGUGUAGCGGUGAAAUGCGCAGAUAUCAGGAGGAACACCUAUUGCGAAGGCAGCUCGCUGGGACGUCACUGACGCUGAGACGCGAAAGCGUGGGGAGCAAACAGG
rnacentral:rRNA from 1 species